GUGAAUCAUCAAAUCUUUGAACGCAAAUUGCACUCUUUUCGGAGAGUAUGCGUGUUUGUGGGUCAGUAUCAAUAAAAAUCGGCGCGUCGCUGUUUUGUGAAGUUCUGGCGUUUGGGUCAUCUUAUAAUAACACCCUUUUAGGGUACUUUUAAGAGGCUUAAAAUUGACCUUUUUUGUGCAUUUUAGACGUAUAUAAAUUUUUUUUAUUCGUCUAUCUUAAUGCCAAAUCUCUAUUAGAUGCGACCAUA
rnacentral:misc_RNA from 1 species